rnacentral:rRNA from 1 species
GUAGGCGGCUUCUUAAGUCGGAUGUGAAAUCCCUGAGCUUAACUUAGGAAUUGCAUUCGAUACUGGGAAGCUAGAGUAUGGGAGAGGAUGGUAGAAUUCCAGGUGUAGCGGUGAAAUGCGUAGAGAUCUGGAGGAAUACCGGUGGCGAAGGCGGCCCCCUGGACAAAGACUGACGCUCAGGUGCGAAAGCGUGGGGAGCAAACAGGAUUAGAUACCCUGGUAGUCC